rnacentral:lncRNA from 1 species
UGACAAAUUUAGACAACAUGUGAUAUUCUGAAAAUUUGAUGGAUCAGGUUCUAACAAAUUGUAGAAAACAUUUGUGAGCUUGAGUAGUGCACCUAAAACUCAGGCGGUGCCCAGUUGUGGUGGAGGUAUUAGUACUCUGAGAAAAUCAUGCGAUUUGAUGCACACUACACUUUUAUAUUUCCUUGCUUUGACAGUUGCCAUGCUUGAAAAUAUAUAUCAAUUAAUUAUAUGUGUAUUAGCUUAGGAUGUAAUUCAUAUUUUUAUUAGAAUCUCAUGUCAUAUAAUUCAUGAUGUUUGUGGGUAACAUCCCUGAAAACCCUCACGAGACAACACUCGUCCACUAGGGUAACCUAGGGGUUUAACGGCUUGUUGCACGUGCUAAGUGCAAUCGUGAUUCCUACGAAAGUGAGUGUUUAUCUUAAUUUUAUGCAAUUAGUUCAAAUAAAACAUCAAAGGAUCAACCAACAUGUUUUGCACUCUCAUAUUAUUAUCUGCUCGUUAAUUGCUAGAGACUAGCAAUAAGCUAGUUGGGGGGUGUGAUGAGAGCACAAAAGUGCGAUCUA